rnacentral:rRNA from 1 species
AGUGAACGCUGGCGGUAGGCCUAACACAUGCAAGUCGAACGGCAGCACAGGAGAGCUUGCUCUCUGGGUGGCGAGUGGCGGACGGGUGAGGAAUACAUCGGAAUCUACUCUGUCGUGGGGGAUAACGUAGGGAAACUUACGCUAAUACCGCAUACGACCUACGGGUGAAAGCAGGGGACCUUCGGGCCUUGCGCGAUUGAAUGAGCCGAUGUCGGAUUAGCUAGUUGGCGGGGUAAAGGCCCACCAAGGCGACGAUCCGAAGCUGGUCUGAGAGGAUGAUACGCCACACUGGAACUGAGAACCGGGCCAGACUCCUACAGGAGGCAGCAGUGGGGAAUAUUGGACAAUGGGCGAAAGCCGGAUCCAGCCAUACCGCGUGGGUGAAGAAGGCCUUCGGGUUGUAAAGCCCUUUUGUUGGGAAAGAAAUCCAGCUGGCUAAUACCCGGUUGGGAUGACGGUACCCAAAGAAUAAGCACCGGCUAACUUCGUGCCAGCCGCCGCAGUAA